AUACCUUUCUCGGCCUUUUGGCUAAGAUCAAGUGUACUAUCUGUUCUUAUCAGUUUAAUAUCUGAUACAAGUGUUGCUCAAGUCUUGCACUAUUGUUGGCACACCCUACCAAUUUAAGUCUAUCAUUUAUGGGUCCUCCUUCUCUAUAAAUUUGGAUUGACCGUUUUGUAUUUAAACUAACAGCAGAAUUGGCCCAAAUAUU